GGGCCCGCACAAGCGGUGGAGCAUGUGGUUUAAUUCGACGCAACGCGAAGAACCUUACCAGGGUUUGACAUCCUGCGAAUCUCUUGGAAACGAGAGAGUGCCUUCGGGAACGCAGUGACAGGUGGUGCAUGGCUGUCGUCAGCUCGUGUCGUGAGAUGUUGGGUUAAGUCCCGCAACGAGCGCAACCCACGUCUUUAGUUGCCAGCAUUUAGUUGGGCACUCUAGAGAGACCGCCGGUGAUAAACCGGAGGAAGGUGUGGAUGACGUCAAGUCAUCAUGCCCCUUACAUCCUGGGCUACACACGUGCUACAAUGGCCGGUACAGAGAGCAGCCACUACGCGAGUAGGAGCGAA
rnacentral:rRNA from 1 species